UAGGUGCAGUUAGCGUAUGAUACAAUCCCUCUAUCGUGGAUCCCGACAAGACGGAGGUUGUGGAUAACUCGUCAAAUUCCAUCGUCUGUCAUAUGUUAAGAUUUAUUUGACUCAAGUUCGAGAUUGGAAAACACUUUUUCCAAAAUGCCCUGGCCAAGGUCUUUCGAACUCAGCCUCAUAAAUCACAUAGGAUCUCUCCUAAUCUAUCAAGGUCGAUAGAUCCCAUCUAGAUACAAUUCUAAUCUGACAGUGAACCUACUGCAGCCAAUCUGCACCACAAGAAUCCUUAUAGAUAGGGCCAAUGUUCAUGUGCUCAUUAAACUACAGCAACCUCACUGUGAAUAGCUGAGACAUCGCAAGUUUAAGUACCAGUCAUACAAAGUAAGUCACUGACGAGUGGAUAGAUAUCCAAGUGACUUCUUGUUUUGGUCAUGCCCAGUACCCUUUGUUCUCUAACAAGCACUUGCACAAUCACUCCAG
rnacentral:lncRNA from 1 species